GAAGGAGAUGUCAAAGAUGAAUAGGAGAUUUCUAUUUGGUAGCCAAGGAUGACUUGCCUACUUCUUUGCGAAGGAAAAUGGUCACGGUGUCAUGUUUGAAAGUGAAUAUACAUUUUUAAGAGUAUAUCAAUUAGUGACCAUUUUGCGUAUAAAAAGAUAUUAGGCAGUCUCCUUGGCUAUCCUUAUAUGUUCUUCUUUCUCAUCUCAGACAUUUACCUUC
rnacentral:pre_miRNA from 1 species